CCUACGGGAGACAGCAGUGAGGAAUAUUGGUCAAUGGACGAGAGUCUGAACCAGCCAAGUAGCGUGAAGGAUGACUGCCCUAUGGGUUGUAAACUUCUUUUAUAAAGGAAUAAAACGAGGCACGUGUGCCUUUUUGCAUGUACUUUAUGAAUAAGGAUCGGCUAACUCCGUGCCAGCAGCCGCGGUAAUACGGAGGAUCCGAGCGUUAUCCGGAUUUAUUGGGUUUAAAGGGAGCGUAGAUGGGUUGUUAAGUCAGUUGUGAAAGUUUGCGGCUCAACCGUAAAAUUGCCAUUGAUACUGGCAGUCGUGAGUACAGUUGAGGUAGGCGGAAUUCGUGGUGUAGCGGUGAAAUGCUUAGAUAUCACGAAGAACCCCGAUUGCGAAGGCAGCUUACUAAACUGUGACUGACAUUGAUGCUCGAAAGUGUGGGUAUCAAACAGGAUUAGAUACCCUGGUAGUC
rnacentral:rRNA from 1 species